CAAACACGACUCAGCCCAGGGCAAGCUGUUGAGAAGCCAUGGAGAUGUUCCGCCUCAUUUCAACAAUUAGUGGAUUAUCCUUAUGCCAUUUGAUUAUCUUUGUUAUAGCCUUGUGCGCUUUACUGAAGCCUAAUUCCCGCUGAUUUCAAUGGAACACCUGCUGUAUUCUCCCAGCAAACACUGGGGCCAUGGUGUUUCUCCUCUAAUGACACCUCAUCAAUCCGCUCCUAUCAACGUCCCAGCCAUGGAGGUGACUCGGAGUGCUCAGAAGCUAUAGAAAAUGUCAACGUUUUGGGAGAAAAGGUGUUGCCAUGGCAAGGGACUCUAGAAGUACAUUCAGGCAACAAAACAGCAACAAAAAAAAAAGGAUAAAGCAAAAAUGAGGAACAUGGAAGAAAUGGGAGCAGGAGAAGACGAUAACUCGCUGACCUGGAGCUUCCCUGGGGAGAGCUGACAUGGUAGGUGGCUGCCUCCCUUCUCCCACCAUCACAUCCUGGUGAGCAGUUGGAGUCCCCUGUCCAGCUGCCAGCUUGUGCUGGUGCUGCCGUGGUACAAGUGUGGAGCAGCU
rnacentral:lncRNA from 1 species